rnacentral:rRNA from 1 species
CAAAYGACUCUCGGCAACGGAUAUCUCGGCUCACGCAUCGAUGAAGAACGUAGCAAAAUGCGAUACUUGGUGUGAAUUGCAGAAUCCCGUGAACCAUCGAGUUUUUGAACGCAAGUUGCGCCSGAAGCCAUUUGGUUGAGGGCACGUCUGCCYGGGCGUCMCGCA